rnacentral:rRNA from 1 species
GACAGAGGGUGCAACCGUUGCUCGGAAUCACUGGGCGUAAAGCGCGUGUAGGCGGUCCGGUAAGUCCGCUGUGAAAGUCGGGGGCUCAACCCUCGAAUGCCGGUGGAUACUGUCGGGCUAGAGUGCGGAAGAGGCGAGUGGAAUUCCUGGUGUAGCGGUGAAAUGCGUAGAUAUCAGGAGGAACACCAAUGGCGAAGGCAGCUCGCUGGGACGGUACUGACGCUGAGACGCGAAAGCGUGGGGAGCAAACAGG